AAGUCGUAACAAGGUUACCGUAGGUGAACCUGCGGUUGGAUCAUUAUUGAAUCUGUUUGCGUCUUCUGUGUGACUGUGGAAUUGAGUACACUAAUCACGGUAGACCCAAGCUUUCCAACCCUUGUGCAUUAAACUGUUUUUUGGGUGGUUUUUCGAAAGGGAGACUGCCCAGCAUAUUAAACCAACUUAAUUUUUUGUCUUAUCUAUAUGAAAAUAUAAACAACUUUUGACAACGGAUCUCUUGGCUCUC
rnacentral:misc_RNA from 1 species